CUAGUAGCUUAAUGGUUAAAGCAGUCGGCCCAUAACCGAUUGAGUGUGGGUUCAAAUCCUACCUAGUCC
rnacentral:tRNA from 1 species